rnacentral:rRNA from 1 species
GAUGAACGCUGGCGGCGUGCUUAAUACAUGCAAGUCGAGCGAAAAGACCAGGAGCUUGCGCGUUUGACGUUAGCGGAGGGGGGGUGAGUAACACGUAGAUCACCUCCUUAUAUUAGUGGGAUAACUUGGAAACAGGGGAGAUAACAGCGGAGAAUAUCUCGAACCGCGUGGGUGGUUGGUGAAAUAUGGCGUUGGGAUCACUUCUAGCUGGUCCUGCGCCGUUUGAGGUGGUUGGGAAGGUAACGGCUUACCAAGGCAACGAUCCGUAGCCGACCUGAGGGGGUGGUCGGCCACACUGGAACUGAGCCACGGUCCAGACUCCUACGGGAGGCAGCAGUAGGGAAUCUGCCGCAAUGGGCGAAAGCCUGACGGAGCAACGCCGCGUCAGAUAUGACGGUCCUCGGAUCGUAAAACUCUGUUAUUAGGGAUGAACAAACGUGUAAGUAACUGUGCACGGCGUGACGGUACCUAAUCAGAAAGCCCCGGCUAACUACGUG